AUGCUCAGUGAUUGAAAGCUGCUGCUGCUGCACCGUGUCCUCGCGCUUUGGUUUAUUUACAGUCCUCGCGCUCCGGUUUAUUUAUUGUCCUCGCGCUCCGGUUUAUUCAUUGUCCUCGCGCUCCGGUUUAUUUUCUGAUCUGUAGAAUGGCUUUCUUCGGGAUCACUAAUCUGGGCUAUCAGGACCCGUUCAGAGACAGGACGCUCCCCUCAGCGCUCAGAGCCCGGAGCUCACAGGAAUACUCGAGGUGGGAUAGGCUGCCAGACCUCCGCCCGGUCAGUUCCCAGACACGGCUAAUGUGCACGGACGUGUGCAGUGUCUACAAUCAACCAGUUCCUAUUAGUGCUGAUCUACAUCAUGGCAGUCAGAAGAGAUACAGGGAGAUGAUCAGACGGGUGCAGACUCCCAGAUCACCUAACCAGCUGUACUGUGUGCCUAUAACCGACAACCAGCACUACGGGUGGUGGCUCAUCACGGGAGAACCAAAGACUCAGAAUUCUUGGACUAAGGUCCCACGAUUUCCACGCAAGAGCAGCGAAAUGACCAAGUUUGUGAAAGAGAUGUCCAGGACAAAUCCAGAGUUCAGCUUAUUUUGACGGAUUGUUGAUAAAACUGUGAGAACUGACAUUGUGAUAUUUUGCUGUCUUGUGAAUAUAUAUUGCAAUAUUAGAAAACAGUGAUUUUCAGCAGAUUUCU
rnacentral:lncRNA from 1 species